GACAGAGGGUGCAACCGUUGUUCGGAAUUACUGGGCGUAAAGAGCGUGUAGGCGGCCAGGUAGGUCUGCUGUGAAAACUCGAGGCUCAACCUCGAGACGUCGGCGGAAACCAUCUGGCUAGAGUCCGGAAGAGGAGAGUGGAAUUCCUGGUGUAGCGGUGAAAUGCGCAGAUAUCAGGAAGAACACCCGUGGCGAAGGCGGCUCUCUGGGACGGUACUGACGCUGAGACGCGAAAGCGUGGGGAGCGAACAGG
rnacentral:rRNA from 1 species